rnacentral:tRNA from 1 species
GCCUGACUGGCUCAGUCAAAAGAGCAUGAGAUUCUUGAUCUUAGGGGUUGUGAGUUCAAGCCCCAUGUUGGGUG